UAUUUUACCGUACAGAUCGAUCGUUCCAGCGAAAAGGUUCCAAUUUUCAUUAAAUAAUUCACUUUUGUAGCGCAGAUAUAUCUUCGAGUCACAAUUUUUGCAACAGUUGAACGGCGACCACUUUCACCAAAAUCGCACGAUCAUCUUUCUCUUGAUGAUCGUCACCACGUCUGACACUCUGUUUUUCCAGCAUCCGAAAAAUGGUCUCACGGACUUUCUACGAUCCAUAAAGGAGAAGAAAGAAAAAUUCAUAAAAAAAUCACACGAGGACAUUCACCACUAUCAUCUUCACUAUUACCCGGUGCCCGUCGACGUUUACCACGAGCCCGUCAAAGCACCGAACAAAGAAGAACUGGAACAUUUGCACAGG
rnacentral:misc_RNA from 1 species